AGAGUUUGAUCAUGGCUCAGGAUGAACGCUGGCGGCGUGCCUAACACAUGCAAGUCGAACGAGAAGCUAACUUCUGAUUCCUUCGGGAUGAUGAAGUCAGCAGAAAGUGGCGAACGGGUGAGUAACGCGUGGGUAAUCUACCCUGUAAGUGGGGGAUAACCCUCCGAAAGGAGGGCUAAUACCGCAUAAUAUCUUCACUUCUACAAGAAGAGAAGAUUAAAGAUGGCCUCUAUACUAUGCUAUCGCUUCAGGAUGAGCCUGCGUCCUAUUAGUUAGUUGGUGGGGUAAUGGCCUACCAAGACCACAAUGGGUAGCCGGUCUGAGAGGAUGUACGGCCACACUGGGACUGAGAUACGGCCCAGACUCCUACGGGAGGCAGCAGUGGGGAAUAUUGCGCAAUGGGGGAAACCCUGACGCAGCGACGCCGCGUGGAUGAUGAAGGCCUUUGGGUUGUAAAAUCCUGUUCUGGGGGAAGAAACCUUAAGGGUCCAAUAAACCCUUAAGCUGACGGUACCCCAAGAGAAAGCUCCGGCUAAUUAUGUGCCAGCAGCCGCGGUAAUACAUAAGGAGCAAGCGUUAUCCGGAAUUAUUGGGCGUAAAGAGCUCGUAGGCGGUCUUAAAAGUCAGGUGUGAAAUUAACAGGCUCAACCUGUUAAGGUCAUCUGAAACUUUAAGACUUGAGGAUAGAAGAGGAAAGUGGAAUUCCCGGUGUAACGGUGAAAUGCGUAGAUAUCGGGAGGAACACCAGUGGCGAAGGCGGCUUUCUGGUC
rnacentral:rRNA from 1 species